CUCAGGCAAGAAAAACAAUUCCUACAGAUGCAAGUGAAAAUAGAGAUCACAGCUCUUUUGCUAACUUGCAGAACAUAGGGGUUAUAGUCCCCCACUGAGACCAGUUCUGGAGCAUUCUCCCACAGAGGAAAUUUCCUGAGCCAAGUGAGAGAACUGUGAGCCAGCAGCAAACAGCAGAUCUGGAAACCUCAAUCCCCAAGUGAUCGCACUAAUCAGAGCCUGCUCACACCUCAGCCUGCUUCUGAAGAUAGUGAGGCAUCUGCUGGGAGUCUGGGAACAUACCCACCAUGGAUAAAGGAGAAUUCCUGAGGCCCAUUUUGCAGAAGAGCAAGGCUUGGG
rnacentral:lncRNA from 1 species